AUACGUAGGGAGCGAGCGUUGUCCGGAAUUACUGGGUGUAAAGGGAGCGUAGGCGGGAUCGCAAGUCAGAUGUGAAAUACAUGGGCUUAACCCAUGGGCUGCAUUUGAAACUGUGGUUCUUGAGUGAAGUAGAGGUAAGCGGAAUUCCUGGUGUAGCGGUGAAAUGCGUAGAUAUCAGGAGGAACACCGGUGGCGAAGGCGGCUUACUGGGCUUUUACUGACGCUGAGGCUCGAAAGCGUGGGGAGCAAACAGGAUUAGAUACCCUGGUAGUCCACGCUGUAAACGAUGAUUACUAGGUGUGGGGGGACUGACCCCUUCCGUGCCGCAGUUAACACAAUAAGUAUUCCACCUGGGGAGUACGAUCGCAAGAUUGAAACUCAAAGGAAUUGGCGGGG
rnacentral:rRNA from 1 species